rnacentral:rRNA from 1 species
GACGAACCGCCCAAACGUUACUCGGAAUUACUGGGCUUAAAGGGUGCGUAGGCUGCGCGGAAAGUUGGGUGUGAAAUCCCUCGGCUCAACCGGGGAAUUGCAUCCAAAACUACCGUGCUCGAGGGAGACAGAGGUAAGCGGAACUCAAGGUGGAGCGGUGAAAUGCGUUGAUAUCUUGAGGAACACCGGUGGCGAAAGCGGCUUACUGGGUCUCUUCUGACGCUGAGGCACGAAAGCUAAGGUAGCAAACGGG